UUUUUCAAAUCGAUUUUCCUCUCUUCUCUUCUCUUGUUAACUCCGGUGGCGAUUGAGCGAUUGGUGAUCAUCAUCAUCACGCGUUUAUAUCAUCAAAUUGGAAGAGAUUAUCGACGGAAUUUGUCUCUUAUCCAUCGUGCUCAUCAUCUCAACCGACGGUGCUCAACGUCGACUAGUUUGGUGAACUUAAUCGGAGAGGACUGUGAACCAAAUCGGAGAUGGGGUUUGUCACUUUUCGGGGUCUCUUAUCUCAGUUGAAGUUGCUUUGUACCAGUAACGUGGAUAUAUGAAGCAGAUGUUUUUGGUGAAUGAUAAGUGCUUAACCAUGAUUGAACCACAGAAGAAAUGGUCAAAAAGAAUAGAAGAAUUGAUAAGUGCGUUACUUAGAUUUAGGAGAUCAAGCUCCACGUUUCCAUAUUCCCACUUUGUUAAUAAUGUUCUUUGUUUUUAGGAUUAGUUGUCGAUCCCCUUUGCUUUACUUUGUGUACUUAAAGACUGCCAAGUUAUGAGAAGGAAUUAGACUUGAUUUGCCAAAAGAAACUUGUGUUUGUGUUGUGUGUUUACACAUUCUCUUAGCUUUGAAGAGGGACCACCUAACAGGGAAUCAGAGUUUUGUAAAUAGAACCGUCACGGUAAC